rnacentral:rRNA from 1 species
UACGGGGGGGGCAAGCGUUGUUCGGAAUUACUGGGCGUAAAGGGCUCGUAGGCGGCCAACUAAGUCAGACGUGAAAUCCCUCGGCUUAACCGGGGAACGGCCUCUGAUACUGGUUGGCUGGAGUUCGGGAGAGGGAUGCGGAAUUCCAGGUGUAGCGGUGAAAUGCGUAGAUAUCUGGAGGAACACCGGUGGCGAAGGCGGCAUCCUGGACCGACACUGACGCUGAGGAGCGAAAGCCAGGGGAGCAAACGGG